GAUGCCCCCGGUGUGUGUUUGACUCCGGAGAGAAACUAGCGAACGAUGCACCCAUUUGGGAAGUAAAUGCAUAAAUGGCUAGAACAAUGCUAGUUCCUCGGGACUGUAUGUGUGUUUCAGUGUGAAUGUUGUUUGGUGAUACCUCAAUUCUGCUACUUAUGUAAUUUAUAGAUACUGUAAUCCUACUGCGGUUUAUUUUAGCUCUGCGAUAUUUAAAG